UACAGAGGUCUCAAGCGUUGUCCGGAAUCAUUGGGCGUAAAGAGCGUGUAGGCGGCUAUUUAAGUCCUGCGUGAAAUCCUGCGGCUCAACCGCAGACGGUCGUGGGAAACUGGAUGGCUAGAGUGCGGGAGAGGAGAGUGGAAUUCCCGGUGUAGCGGUGAAAUGCGCAGAUAUCGGGAAGAACACCCGUGGCGAAGGCGGCUCUCUGGAACGCAACUGACGCUGAGACGCGAAAGCGUGGGGAGCAAACAGG
rnacentral:rRNA from 1 species